AAAUCCUCCAAAAUCGAUAUGAAAGGAUGCAUUAAGGUUCUGCGAUAUCAGCCGCCCAACAGUGUGGAGGGGCUUCUCAAUGCCCUUAGGUACACAACAAAACAUUUGAAUGAUGAGACUACCUCCAAGCAAAUCAAAAACAUGUUACAAGCUUAACUGUGUCUGCCAAAAGUAUUACUUCUUGAAUACAUUGGACGAGACGCUUCAGCAGUUUUAGUAAUACAAUGAGACUAGCCAUGUGUCAUGUGGCAGCUACUGUUAUCAGUCUGUUUUUACUGUUGUAGUUUUGUUUUUGUUUUUUUGCUUAUUCUGUUAGACUUAAAGUCAUGUGUGGCCUUUAGAUGUCAAAGACGAUUCUUUGUUGUGUGGCCGUCCAACAAAGAUGAGCUUCGUUCGUUCCCUUCCCAUGUUUUCUACAGUUGACUGAGUGCCCAGGCAGGACCACAAAUAAUGUGUUGCUUUUUUAAUAACAAUUUACUGUGAUUUUUUUAUUAACAUGACUCUUUUGAACUGAAUAAAGCUAUUUUAACCAAAAA